GGACUACAGCCAGCAGCGAUCGUCGCAGGAGCUUGUGGCCAAGGAUUUGCACGGAACCGAGUGGAGGUUCCGCCACAUUUAUCGAGGGCAGCCCCACAGACACCUUUUAACCACUGGAUGGAGUGCCUUUGUCAACAAGAAGCUUGUCUCAAGGGACGCCGUACUAUUUUUGAGGGGUGAUAAUGGGGAGCUAAGACUUGGAGUGCGCCGUGCAGCUCAGCUUAAAAAUGGAUCUGCUUUUCCAGCUCUUUAUAACCAGUGCUCAAAUCUUGGUUCACUACCUAAUGUUGCACAUGCUGUGGCCACCAAAAGUGUGUUCCACAUCUACUACAACCCCAGGUGAUGAUGAAUAUAGCGGUUUCACUUUAAUGCUUUUGCAUGUUCAAUUGUUCAUGUUGUUGGCACUCUUUUAGAUGAUGUGAACUGAAAUGUGCUUAUUAACUACUCUUUCAAUUGACGGGGAUUUGAAAUUGUGUCAUUGUGUGUGAUAUCAUUUCCUGAGUUGUUUCGAGCUAUGUAAUUCAUGAUUCUUACUGCA